rnacentral:rRNA from 1 species
CCUACGGGGGGCUGCAGUGGGGAAUAUUGGACAAUGGGGGCAACCCUGAUCCAGCCAUGCCGCGUGUGUGAAGAAGGCCCUCGGGUUGUAAAGCACUUUCAGUGAGGAAGAACGCCUGGUGGUUAAUACCCAUCAGGAAAGACAUCACUCACAGAAGAAGCACCGGCUAACUCCGUGCCAGCAGCCGCGGUAAUACGGAGGGUGUGAGCGUUAAUCGGAAUUACUGGGCGUAAAGCGCGCGUAGGUGGCUUGAUAAGCCGGUUGUGAAAGCCCCGGGCUCAACCUGGGAACGGCAUCCGGAACUGUCAAGCUAGAGUGCAGGAGAGGAAGGUAGAAUUCCCGGUGUAGCGGUGAAAUGCGUAGAGAUCGGGAGGAAUACCAGUGGCGAAGGCGGCCUUCUGGACUGACACUGACACUGAGGUGCGAAAGCGUGGGUAGCAAACAGGAUUAGAUACCCGAGUAGUC